AGCCAAGGGAGGAGCAUCAGAAAAAACAUUCCACUGGCGAGGAGGAAUGAUGAAAGCGCAGCAGCCACACUCAGUGCCAGGUCUGGGACAGACUGGAAAGAGAACGGCAAGGUGGAGCCUAAGCUGAGGGUUCCUUAAUCUGAGUGGAAGAAUCAGUUGGCAAAUUGAGGAGAAGUAUUGAAGCUCCAAUUGGCAGACCCUGGAGAUUUACAUGAUGCAAAUAUAAAGAAACUGAAAAUUGAAGGAAACAAGGCAAACAUUGUAAUGGAAUAACAAGGAGGCACCCUGCUGGAACCCGGUCCUGUGGACACCAGCAGCUCGCGCCCUGCCUGACCUCGCCGCACAUACGUACAGGAUCAUGCCGCACGGAUGCCGCGAGGCAUCUGAAUCCACACAGCAGAGGCGCCAGGGGGAACAUAAAAGCCAUGAAGAAGUGAAUGACAGAGAGGGCCUUUCUGACGCUCCUCAAGGAAAAUUGAAGCCCACUGGGAAAGUGAAGAAAACUCUUCAAUAAAGCACACCAGACCAUCGUGGUUGUAUGAAGGACUUCAUUGUUGGAUGGAAUGGAAUUUGUUUCACAUGAAAAGUCCAGAAACCUUCUCUCCUACUUCUCCAUCUUCAGAAUCUUCAGAGCUUCUCAAGGACACUUCUGGAUAAGAGAACAAAAUCUUUCUCUUGAAGGUCUGCAUCCUUUACCAAAGUGCAAAAUGAUCAAUUCAAGCAAUAUCUUCCACUACUCUUUCCUCUCUAAGAGGUUUCCUAUGCACUUCACUCACUGCUUCUUGAGCAGCACACUGCACUGUUUUUGCCAGAACCCUCUACAGGGAAUCCCAAAGAGGACGUCACUUUCUUCUGGAAGCCACUGGACCUUGAUUCUGUGCUCCAGCCCUUCAGGAGGCCUGGCAAGAUUCUGAAGUGUGGGAAUGUAGAAGCGAGUAGCUCAUGGAAGGAAAGUAUAAUAAGAUAAACACAUCCUUUUUUGUGAGACAAAAAAGUCCACAUCUGUUCAAAAGGAAAUUCAAAAUAUGAAAAUGUAGUGUUUGUCUUAAUCUGUCUUGUGCCUGCGCAUGUGCCUGCCACAUGGUGACUUCAGAUUAAAGGGAAAAUACCUGUUCC
ensembl:lncRNA